AGAGACAGCAGUCGCCACGGUAAAACAGAGGGUGCGAGCGUUAAUCGGAUUUACUGGGCGUAAAGCGUGCGUAGGCGGCUUUUUAAGUCGGAUGUGAAAUCCCUGAGCUUAACUUAGGAAUUGCAUUCGAUACUGGGAAGCUAGAGUAUGGGAGAGGAUGGUAGAAUUCCAGGUGUAGCGGUGAAAUGCGUAGAGAUCUGGAGGAAUACCGAUGGCGAAGGCAGCCAUCUGGCCUAAUACUGACGCUGAGGUACGAAAGCAUGGGGAGCAAACAGGAUUAGAUACCCCUGUAGUCCCUGUCUCUUAUAC
rnacentral:rRNA from 1 species